AUUGAACGCUGGCGGCAUGCCUUACACAUGCAAGUCGAACGGCAGCACGGGUGCUUGCACCUGGUGGCGAGUGGCGAACGGGUGAGUAAUAUAUCGGAACGUACCUUAUUGUGGGGGAUAACGCGGCGAAAGCCGUGCUAAUACCGAAUACUCACUACGGGGGAAAGCGGGGGACCGUAAGGCCUCGCGCAAUUAGAGCGGCCGAUACCUGAUUAGCUAGUUGGUGAGGUAAAGGCUCACCGAGGCAACGAUCAGUAGCUGGUCUGAGAGGACGAUCAGCCACACUGGGACUGAGACACGGCCCAGACUCCUACGGGAUGCAGCAGUGGGGAAUUUUGGACAAUGGGGGCAACCCUGAUCCAGCAAUGCCGCGUGAGUGAAGAAGGCCUUCGGGUUGUAAAGCUCUUUUGUCAGGGAAGAAACAGCAGCUCUAACACAGUUUGCGAAUGACGGUACCUGAAGAAUAAGCACCGGCUAACUACGUGCCAGCCGCCGCAGUAA
rnacentral:rRNA from 1 species